rnacentral:lncRNA from 1 species
AAGCUACAAGCCACAGGCCUUUUGCAUUAUAAUCUAAACACCCUUCUGAAUAAUCACUCUCUCAAGCACACAGACCCUACAUUUACAUACUCCUACUGUACUUCACAGUUCACAGGAAGCAGCUCCAAGCUCAGUCAUGGCUAAGAACACCGGAGGCGCGGCGAAGACCAAAGGUUUAGGAAGGUUUAUGAAGCAACAAAGAGGAAGGAUCUACAUUAUCAGAACCUGUGUAGUUAUGUUACUUUGCUGGCAUGACUAAGCCAUUGCUCAUUCCUCUGUAAAUUUGUACAUACCGGAAAAAACUUUUGUAGAUCAGAUUUAUAUUAUUAUGGAGUAAGCUAAUUUUAAUCCCAGUGCUGUCCUUUUUUAGUUACUCCCUUCUUUUUCUUUCAUUUCUCGUCCCUCUAUACUCAUUCCGCAACUCCACUGAUACUUGAACUCUCGAUUUCUUGUUACCGAAUGACGGAUAAUAUCGGUACUGACUAGUAACUAC